GGGGUUGUAGCCUAGUGGUUAGAGCGUCCGACUCACGACUUGAAGAUUGGGGGUUCGAUUCCCGAUCCCA
rfam:Macrostomum lignano uti_cns_0045393, whole genome shotgun sequence.